GAUGAACGCUGGCGGCGUGCCUAAUACAUGCAAGUCGAGCGAAUGGAUUAAGAGCUUGCUCUUAUGAAGUUAGCGGCGGACGGGUGAGUAACACGUGGGUAACCUGCCCAUAAGACUGGGAUAACUCCGGGAAACCGGGGCUAAUACCGGAUAACAUUUUGAACCGCAUGGUUCGAAAUUGAAAGGCGGCUUCGGCUGUCACUUAUGGAUGGACCCGCGUCGCAUUAGCUAGUUGGUGAGGUAACGGCUCACCAAGGCAACGAUGCGUAGCCGACCGGAGAGGGUGAGCUGCCACACGGGGACUGAGACCCGGCCCAGACUCCUGCGGGAGGCAGCAGUAGGGAAUCUUCCGCAAUGGACGAAAGUCUGACGGAGCAACGCCGCGUGAGUGAUGAAGGCUUUCGGGUCGUAAAACUCUGUUGUUAGGGAAGAACAAGUGCUAGUUGAAUAAGCUGGCACCUUGACGGUACCUAACCAGAAAGCCACGGCUAACUACGUGCCAGCAGCCGCAGUAA
rnacentral:rRNA from 1 species